GUCUACGGCCAUGCCACCCUGAACACUCCUGAUCGCCUCAGAUCUCGGAAGCUAAGCAGGGUUGGGCCUGGUUAGUACUUGGAUGAGAGAUUCCACCUGCCAUGAGGGGAACUCAAACA
ensembl:rRNA 5S_rRNA 5S ribosomal RNA